rnacentral:rRNA from 1 species
AUUGAACGCUAGCGGGAUGCCUUACACAUGCAAGUCGAACGGAGUGGCUAACGGGCGAGUAAUGAAUCGGAAGGUGCCCAGCCUCGGGGGAUAACUACGCUAAAGCGUAGAUAAUACCGCACACUAUUUCAGCGCCCUAUAUCGGAUUAGCUAGUUGGUGGGGUAACGGCUCACUAAGGCGACGAUCCGUAGCUGGUUUGAGAGGACGACCAGCCACACUGGAACUGAGACACGGCCCAGACUCCUACGGGAGGCAGCAGUGGGGAAUUUUGGACAAUGGGGGAAAGCCUGAUGCAGCAAUGCCGCGUGUGCGAUGAAGGCCUUCGGGUUGUAAAGCACUGUGGGCAGGAAGGCGGUACCUGCAGAAUAAGCACCGGCUAACUACGUGCCAGCAGCCGCGGUAAUUC